CUGGGGGCCUCUUCAGGUUUGCCCCGUGUCUUGAGUUACCUGAGUUCUGCCAGGGUCGAGAUAGGAGCUACUGAGUCACCUCCUCCGGGGGCAUUUUCAGCUGGGCCUCCCCAUGCCUCCUCAGAGUCAGCAGCUGCUGUGUGUCAACUACCCAGAGGAAACAGGUGAAAACCAAAUGUCAAGACUGGGGGCAGAGGCCGUGGCCUAGAACAAGGCAGCUCAUACUGAGCGUAUCCCUGGCACCCAGUGGCUUUCCUCCCAGCCCUGGAGCAGGUCUGGCCUGCCCGCAGGUCUCUUUCUGGGACCAGCCAGGAGCAGGCCUGGCCUGCCCGCAGAUCUCUUUCUGGGACCAGAUGUCCCUCCUGGCUCCUGAUUUCCCUACUGCCAUCUCUGCCUAGAGAAACGCCAUCCACCCCCCUUUAUGGCCCAGUUCAAAUGCCCCUUCUUCCAAGAACUCCUCUUGGAGUUAUCCCGUCCUCUUUUAUGGAAAGUCAGGCUCUGAACCCCUGAACCCCUGAACCCCAAAGUCCCACAUCCCUUUACUUAUAAGAAUACUGGCAUCCAACACUCCCAAGCACCUCUCUGUGCCAAGCCCAUUCCUAAAACUGCAUGGAUUGAUUUAUUUAAUCCCCAUAACAAUCAUUUGAAGGGAAUUACAUAGGGGAUUAUAGACAGGGAGACUGAGGCCUAAAGAGAUUUAGGAACCUGUCCCAGAGCACACCAGCAAUAAGUGCCAGUGGCAGGACUUGAAUCCAUAUCUCUGUUGGACCAUAGGUCCAUGAUUUAUCUCUAGGUCAUACAGUUUCUCAGUGAAUGUAUUUUAUUCAUUCAUUCAACGAACAUUUCCUAAGUACCCACCAAGUGCCAGGCCUCAAGCUGGGCUCUGCAUACCUGACAGAGCCCAGAAACCAUCCCUGCCUUCAUGGAGCUGAUGGCUUGAUGAGGAAGUAAGAAAUUGAACUGCUGGCUGGGUGCAGUGGCUCAUGCCUAAAUCCCAGCACUUUGGGAGGCAAAGGCAGGCGGAUCACUUGACGUCAGGAGUUGGAGACCAGCCUGGCCAACACGGUGAAACCCUGUCUCUACUAAAAAUACAAAAAAUAAUUAGCCAGUCGUGGUGGUGGGC
rnacentral:lncRNA from 1 species